rnacentral:rRNA from 1 species
CAUCGACGAGGAGGUUUGGCACCUCGAUGUCGGCUCAUCACAUCCUGGGGUUGUAGCAGAUCCCAAGGGUUUGGCUGUUCGCCAAUUAAAGUGGUACGUGAGCUGGGUUUAAAACGUCGCGAGACAGUUUGGUCCCUAUCUGCUGUGGGCGUAGGAAAUUUGAGAGGGCCUGACCUUUGUACGAGAGGACCGGGUUGGACAAACCUCUGGUGCACCAGUUGUUCUUGCCAUGAGCAUGGCUGGGUAGCUACGUUUGGAAGGGAUAACCGCUGAAAGCAUCUAAGUGGGAAGCCUGCCUCAAGAUAAGAUUUCCCUCGCGUUGUUUACAACGCGGUAAGGACACCGGAAGACUACCGGUUUAAUAGGUUGAUUGUGUAAGCGCGGUUAACGCGUUCAGCUUAUCAAUACUAAUUGUCCGAGCGGCUUUUCUAU